AGUCUGCAGUCUUGGAGCCGCACUGAGUUGGUGGUACCCGAGGGCACACCAGACUUGCAGGAAAAGCAUACCCCGGAGGAAGCUGAGGCAUGACUGCUCUAGAACCAGCCUUCCAUGUGCAAGUUCCUGGGCACUGUUGCCAUGGUGAUAGUGACUGUCUGUGUCAUUAUCUAUCCACCAACAGUAAGAGAAGCUUUGCAGUCGAGAUAUUGCUUGACAGAUGCAGUGGUUUCUGUUGGACACUAAGUACUAUUUUAUUU